rfam:Lucilia cuprina strain LS Scaffold395, whole genome shotgun sequence.
CUCAAUUACUGCGACAUAGUCAUACAGCAAAUGUUGUGUAAAUUGAGUCCAAUGUUAACUGUAAGACUGUGUCUUGGUUUUUGAG